UAUCUACAGAAAGAUUUAUAUAAAUUAACAACUAUGGGAUCAGUGCCUACAUGAAAAAUAUAUCGAAGUAUGAAGUGAUAUAUCGUUGAAACUAAGUCGCCUGACAUUUGUAAACAUCGUCGAAAGCUUCGGCGGCGACGACUGGAUGGACUGAGGUUGUAUACAUAAGAUCGUGGCGGUCACAGCGGUGGCCUUCGUCAUGUUCGUCGCGAAGAUCACUGUUGAAGGACUGAUGAUUGUGUGGGUGGGCUGGACGAAGGACAAGUAAUUGGAAGGUCUUGGGUAGUUGACACCAGUCAAUGAAGUAUUGUAUUUGCGAUCACCAGUUGUGCUUUUUUUUACAGUGGCGCUACUAAUUUAGCCACUAGUGACAGGACUUAAGGCGAUUCGCGGUCCGCGUGAUUUCAUAUAAAAAAUCCCGCGCGCAGACGCGUUGUCAGUGUUUGUCAGUGUUGUAGUUUCAGUCAUUAGUGACAGGAUCUUACUUUACAGUGGCGCUACUAAUUUAGCCACUAGUGACAGGACUUAACAGCGGCGCCACUGUCUUAGUCAUUGGUGACAGGAUCUUACUUUACAGUGGCGCUACUAUUUUAGCCACUAGUGAUAUGAUUUAACAGUGGUGUCAGCACUAUC